rnacentral:rRNA from 1 species
CUACGGGCUGCUCCAGUGGGGGAUAUUGCACAAUGGGCGAAAGCCUGAUGCAGCAACGCCGCGUGAAGGAAGACGGAUUUCGGUCUGUAAACUUCUAUCAGCUGGGAAGAAAAUGACGGUACCAGACUAAGAAGCCCCGGCUAACUACGUGCCAGCAGCCGCGGUAAUACGUAGGGGGCAAGCGUUAUCCGGAUUUACUGGGUGUAAAGGGUACGUAGGCGGUCGCUUAAGUCAGAUGUGAAAGCCCGAAGCUCAACUUCGGGACUGCAUUUGAAACUGGGUGACUAGAGUACAGGAGAGGAAAGCGGAAUUCCUAGUGUAGCGGUGAAAUGCGUAGAUAUUAGGAAGAACACCAGUGGCGAAGGCGGCUUUCUGGACUGUAACUGACGCUGAGGUACGAAAGCGUGGGGAGCAAACAGGAUUAGAUACCCGGGAGUC